rnacentral:tRNA from 1 species
GUGCCCGUAGCUCAGCGGACAGAGCGCUGCCCUCCGAAGGCAGAGGUCGGAGAUUCGACUUCUCCCGGGCGCA